rnacentral:tRNA from 1 species
GUUGUGGCUCAGUGGUAGAGCACUUGCCUGGCAUGUGUGAGGGCCUGGGUCCAAAUCUCUGCAUAUA